rnacentral:misc_RNA from 1 species
UAGCGGUCACUCAUCUAGGUACUGACUGCGCCCGAUGCUGCUUAACUUCGGUGAUCGGACGAGGACCGGUGUAUCCAGCGUGCUAUGGCCGUUA